rnacentral:rRNA from 1 species
UAUGUAGGCGGUUUAUUAAGUCCAAGGUCAAAGCCCGAAGCUUAACUUCGGUUCGCCUUGGAAACUGAUAGACUUGAAUACUGUAGAGGCAAGUGGAAUUUCUAGUGUAGCGGUGGAAUGCGUAGAUAUUAGAAGGAACACCAGUGGCGAAGGCGGCUUGCUGGGCAGUUAUUGACGCUGAGAUACGAAAGCGUGGGGAGCAAACAGGAUUAGAUACCCUGGUAGUCC